CUGACCUCAUGAUCCGCCCGCCUCGGCCUCCCAAAGUGCUGGGAUUACAGGUAUGAGCCACCGUGCCCGGCCAAAACCCAGGAGAUUUUUGAAGGUGGUUUCCUGGGACUCUAUUGUGUAGGGACUCUAGUGUGGGCAGAAGCCCAGAAAGAUUCUUUUGUAUGAAUUUAAACCUUUAUCCCACAGGAAGGAGCCAGUGGACUAAGUGAUUAGCCUGUUGUGACAGGAUCUACGAUUGCAGGUCAGAAACCUCAGCAGCAGCAGACAGCUGACAGCUUCUUGCAGACAGGGAAACAGGGCCCAGCAGGGAUGGCAGUGGGGCUCACUGCUGAAAUGUGGCUCACCUCCUUUCAGGUGUGUUGCUGCCUCAUCUCCAAUCAGGAACUGAAACUCAGGCACCUCUACAGGAAGGCCAGGCCCAGGGCCCAUAUCAGGAAUGGUAAGAUGGAACCCACACAAGUGGGGAGUUGGAGGACGCCUUCCCAUCCCAGCCCUAACCAAAGAGCCAGCAAUGCUAAGUAAACUUUGCAGUACAAACCAAUCACUCAUCACCAGCCCUUGGCAACCACACCUGAGCCUGGUCUCACUGGCCUGGCCCACUGGCUCCAAAAACUGCUUCAUGAGGCCCUUCAGUGGCUGUGACAUGUGACCCCUGU